GGGAGGCGCUUGCAGGGGCUCCCCCAGUUCUGCGCUGUGAGCCUGGGCACAAAGAGCCCUCUGCACUCGCGCCGCAGGACUGCCGACCCGAGGUGGAGGCGUCUCCCUGCCCAUCAUGCAGUUCCAGACGCGUUCAUUAGGCCACCAUGACCUUCACAGCAUCAACGGAGUAGCCAAGAUGACCUCUCCUGUCCUCUGUGCGCCCACGGGGCAGCAGAGACCAACAUCAGGCUGUGUCCUCAGGGCCACCAGGAAAUCCGUGUGUGCUGAGACCUGACUCUCAGAGGUUUGCCUUCUCUGGACAUUUCACAGAAAUGGGAUCGUCCAGCGUGGGGCCCCUUGCACCUGGCUCCAUUUACUCCGUGUAGUAUUUGCGAGGUUCACGCAUACUGUAGUACAGUAACGAACCAACAGUUUGUCCCUUGUUACUGCUGAGGAGAUUUCAUUAGAUGAGUGUCCUACGGUUGGCUUAUCCAAUCACCAAGACGGGGUUUGAAUGAGAUCGGGGCUUCCUAACUGGGUGUAUACACCACAGGAAAAAUAGGGCCCAUAUUUCUGGACAUCAGUAUUCCACAAAGACUUACUCAAAGUUGGAAUCAUUAGCUGGUGAAAGUAAUUUCUGGGACACUUACUGCGAGCCGGGCGCUGGCUUAGCCUGGGAAUGAACUCUGAGUCACCUACUGGACACCUGGGGUUGGGGAACAUGUAGUCUCAUCCAUGUUGGUCUGACCUCAAAGCCUUCCUCUCUGCCAUCCUACACAGCUGUCAGCUCGAGCUAGGAGCUGACGUUGCCCUUGAAAGCUUCAUUGCCUUAUUGACAUCGGGACCCUGGGCACAGAGGGGCCAGGAGAAAGGGUCUUUGUGGUCACACAAUGCUCCUCUGAGGGUCUCUUUCCAGACCACAGCAGAUCCUGGGACAGAAGUGUGAGGAGGGGAUCUGAGUGCCUCGGGACAGUCAUGACCACAUGGGGAAGCAGCCUUGCAGAUAAGUAUUCAAACUUACCAGCUCGCCGCCGAUGUUUCCUCGUCUGUGCGGAAAGUGUCACAUCCCGGAGUCCCCGGUGGGAGGGGACAUUGGGAAUGUAGCUCAUUCACUUCUCUACCUCGAUGCCGCAAAGAAGGCGCCUGUCCCCACUUUCGGGGGCCCCACAAAGGGUGAUUUUCACGCUCCCCUUUUGGCGUGAAGGCUGGUAUUUUAUAGACUCCACCAUCGGGGACUUCAGAGGAGCCGAGUUGAGUGGCCUCAUCCUGAGGGCUGGUGGAGCCGCUCUCCGGGGGAUUCGGACUGGCCCGACUCUUCCCGGCCCUGGGUCGUCACCUCUGUACACCUCGGCCAGGGCUCCUUGAUCGGGGAUCUGAGCACCAGGCCUGGAGGGCACAUUCUCUCAGUGCCAGGGGCCAAGUACCCCUGCCCAAGUCCUGGUCUCUUGCCCCAAGUCCUGGGUGCUGACAGCACGCUCUGAAAAUAUGCUUGGAGCGCCACCGACUCUCCUGGCCCAGGUCUGCCAGUCGUGAAGGCAGCUUAGCUGCCACCAAAAGCCAAACCUGCGAGAUGGUUCGGGUCAGAAUUAGUGGGCAUUUGAGGGGAGCAGAAAAGUAACUGUGGCUGAGCACAGGGCCCUGUCCUUUCCCACCCACUGCCUCAAACUGGGGGUUACUACUGUGACCCUGGGUGACUGUCCGGGCUGGGAGGAUCCAUGGCCCAGAAGGACGGACAGACUCUCCGGGCGACAGCAUGGCAGAGCUGGGACCAGAGCUCCG